UUCCCUUCCCCCAGGGUCAAUUAUGUUCUGAUAAAACCCCAGCAGGUUAGCCUCUAGUUAAACAGUUUCACCUGAGAGCAGACCUUGUUAAGAAGAACAAGGUGCUCUGGGGUUUUUAAAAAUGAUUCCUUUUCUCCUCCGCCUGCUGGAAGCACCAGGAGAUUUUUCGCAUGUUCACUGUGAACCCAGUAGAGCCCUAAGAUGUAAAUUCAUAAAAGUAUUGGGGCCAUCAGAUGACUAAGUCCUCUUGGAGUAUUUGCUCUUCACUGAGCUUCAUCAAUUGCAUUUCAGUCUUCCAACUCUGACAGUGGUUCCCAAGGAGGUUUUGGCUUGUGGGUCUCUGCUCAGCCCCCCAGUACAUAGUUGGAUAUUGCAAUUUCAGGUCCUUCUGGCUCUGCUUUGUGGGACACCCCCUCAGCACAGCUUCAUGAAUGGUGCUAGGUCUGCACCCAGGAGCCCAACCAGUGAAACCCUGGUCUGUCGAAGUGGAGCAGUGAACUUCACCACGCAGCCACAGGGCCGGCCCCUGUAUGAAAUUUUCAAUGGACGUAUUUGACAAAGGACUUAUAUCUGAAAUAUGUUAAGCAUUCUUGCCACCAAUAAGAAAAUCACUGACUAUGCAAUAGAUAAUAUGGGCAAAUGAUUUGAAUUUAUAUAUUAUAAAAGAUGAUAUAAAAUGGUCAUUCAACUUAUGAAAAUAUGCUUAAAAUCAUUAGUCACCAGGAAAAUGCAAUUUAAAAUUACAUUGCAAUGCAAUUGCACAACCAAAAAGAAUGACUGAAAUGAAAAAUUGACACUACCAAAUAUUAGCAAAGAUAUGGUGCAAAUGGAAAUCUCUUACACUUCUGGUGUCAGUUUAAGUUGAAGCACCCAACCAAUUGGUUUGCACUAUCAUCUAGUGUUAAACAUACACACAUUUUAUGACUCAGCAAUUCCACUCCUAGGUAUUUACCUGAGAGAAAUGUGUACAUUAUUCAUUAAGGACUCGUGUAAGGGUGUUUUUAGCAGCACUUUGCAUGAUGGCCCCAAUUAAAAAAAACAAAAACAAAUGCCCAUUAAAUUUAGUAUACUGUGAUAUAUUCAUGUAAUGUAAUAUUAU
rnacentral:lncRNA from 1 species